CCCAUCUGUAUUCCCAGCUACUUGGGAGGCUGAGGUGGGAGGAUUGCCUGAGCCUGAGGGGGAUGUUGCAGUGAGCCAAGAGCUUGUGACUGGACUCCAGCCUGGGCAACAGAGCAAGACCCUGUCUCAAAAAAAAAAAAAGAAAAGAAAGGAAAAGAAAAACCACUAGCAAUGGAGUUGGGAGGAGGCUUCAGAGCCCAGAGAGCAGCAAGGGUUACACAGGGUGGAGCAGGAAGGGUCAGCAGAGCCCCACACGUGUGAGCUGGGGCAGUGGGAGGGCAUGGGAGAGGCAGAGCGCUGUCCAGGUGCUGGUAGGCCCAGGGCAGGAGGAGGCAGGUGGGGGGGCACAGUCAAGAUGUAUGUGGGGGUUGUGGCACUGGAAAUGCAGGCAUAGAGGGGCCAGGAGGAUUAGGGGGUGCCAUGUGAGCGAAUGGGGGCUCCAAGAGAAUUUACCCGAGGACAGGAGUGGCCUGGAGUGCUGGGCCCCUCAGGGUCAUUUGUUUCUCGAGGGCUGUGUCCUGGAAGCAUAGCCCAGGUCCUGUAGGCUGGGUGGCAGAAAGCCACGACAUGAGGGCACCGAGGCCCCAUGGGGAUAGAGUGGAACCUGAGGAGGAGGUGGAGGGGAAUGGGGCAGACGUGUGCUGCUGAGUGAGAGGCAGAGGCCACAGAUGGAAUGCUGAGAGCUCUCUGAGGCCCACAUAUUACAGCUUCUGACCACACAGAGCUCCAGCUGCCCUGGUAAUGGCAGAAUCUGGGGUGGAGGAUUCUGUCACCCCAUAUGGCAGGGGGGUUGUCGGAGUAAUCCGGGGGGAGGGGCAUGGAGGCCAUAGGUUUCCCACAGGACUCGGGUGUUGAGUUCUCCAGGCUAUGGGCCAGGCCCUCUCGAGCUUGCCUCUGUGAGCUGCAGCAGGCACCCUGGGUCCUCUGGAUGCCUGUCCCCCAGCCAUGCAGACGGCCUGUGGGAACAACCACCACCAGAUUCACUCAUACCCACAGGGAAGGGGAAAUAGAAAACCCCAGAAGCACAGAGGGUCGAUGCUUGUCUUGGUGAGAGUCUGGAGUCAUUGAGGGAAAAAUAAAUUCAGUCAAGCGUUAUAUUUAAGUUUAGGGAAACUAUACGUUUUAAAAGUUGUCCAGAGCAUGCGUGUAAGAUGACGUUUGGAGUGUGGAAGCCGUGAGUCUCACCUGAGCUGUGCUGCCUGAUACAGGAACUUCGAGCCACACAUGGCUGGCGUGGUCAUUGCACUGCGUGUGGUAUGCGCAGCAGAUGCCAAAGGACCGGUACAAAAGGGAAUGCAAAAAACCCACCACACCUUGGGAGGCCGAGGCUGCUGGAUCUCUUGAGCUCAGCAGUUCAGGACUAGCCAGGGCAACACAGGGAGACCCAAUCUCUACAAAACAUACAAAAAUUAGCAGGGCAUGGUGGCACACAUCUGUAGUUCCAACUACUUGGGAGGCUGAGGUUGGAGGAUUGCUUGAGCCUGGGAGGUUGAGGUUGCAGUGAGCUGUGACUGCACCACUGCACUCCAGCCUGGGUGAGAGAGUGAGACCCUGUCUCAAAAAUAAACAAAAAACCCCAAAGUGAAUGAGGCUGGGCAUUGGUUCACACCUGUAAUCCCAACAUUUUUGGAGGCUGAGGCAGGAGCAUCACUUGAAGCUCGGAGUUUGAGACCAGCCUGGGCAACAUAGCAAGACCCCACCCAUUUCUACAAAGAAACAAGAAAAAGAACAAAGUCACUGCUGGGCUGAGGUGGCCAAUCAUCACCCACCACGUGUUCCUGACUGCGCUCCUCCUUGGCUCAGGGCAACCCUGACUCCAUCUUUGUUCAGCCAAGUGUGACAAGCUGACAGAGUUCCCAGCAUGACACCGCUGUAACCCUCACCACCACCAGGCAAGAAUGAGCAAAGAUCUCAUUCUCUGAGGAAGAACUCCCCGGAAACUCAUAAGGAGGGCCGUCCUAUCCCUGCAGGGGAGAGACAAAGGCAGCGCUGCCCUCGGGGGAGUAUUGGCCCUGGCGGAACGCAGCAACCACGAGGGAUCCAGCCAGAGGAUGCCACGCCAGCCCAGCGCUACCAGGCUGCCCAAGGGGGGCGGGCCUGGGAAGAGCCCUACGCAGGGCAGCACCUAGGAUGGGGCAGAGACUUGUCACAUCUUUGUCCCCAGCAAAGGCUACAUGUUACCUCCUUCAGUUGAUAAUAAACCUUUCUGAGAUGCAGAGGGUCCAGGUCA
rnacentral:lncRNA from 10 species